ACACAGCUUCUGGGAAGUCAAGAGAAAAUCAAGUCUGAGAACAAUGCUGUCCUUACCUUUACUCCAGGGAAAAGCUGAAUUUGCUCUAGGAAUAAGAAGCAAAGGCAAAAAUGUCAUUGUCUUAGUAACAUUUUCAUCAAAUUAUCCCAGGAUUUGUGGCAGUCAUGACUCUACAUUUUACUGCUAAGAAAACCACAAAUAGUUCGUGAGAUGAAAUUAAUGCAGGUGGAAGAGUAGGAAUUGUGCUUUCUUUAUCAUUUAAAAUGUUCUCACAAAGCUGCAAAAUAUACUAUUGGAGCUGGGAUUUCAAAAAUAAAAUUUCAAAAAUAAAAAUGCCUACACCCUUGAGGAAGUAUUCCAGGGGCUUUGGAAUCCGACAGAUUUGUCUUAACUACCACUACCAGUUGUGCAAUCAGAGCUUGGCUUCUGCAAAUGAACGUGGUUCCCACUUGCGUGCGAUGGGUAUUGACGAGUCAUGGCAACAUGUACAAGGUAUACAAAGAGGUAAACAUCUGUCAGCUGGAAACUGCCAAACUCUUCUUUACAAGCGGUGAACAAAGCUGGACCCACUAUCGACCCUCCGAAUGAAAGAUUUCAAAUCCUCUGUACGUUUUGAGUAGCAAAAGAAGUUAUUCCUUUUUAAAGAUAGAGUUGAUGCUCUGCGCAGAACUGAGUAUUAACUAAAAUAGAGUAGUGGUUAUAAUGGAAAUUCUGAUAAGAUUAUUUGAUAUACUUCAGAGCAUGUACAUCCUCUCCUUGACAGAGUGGAGAGAUUGUUUUGAUUUGGUUUGGUUUGGUUUGGUCACCUUCCCAUCUCCUAUUCAGGUUUCUUUCACAACUCCCUUUCUACCCUAAGCUGGGGAAGCUCUGGGAACUGCUUUCUAGUCUGUUGGGCUACUGAGCCGGACCUGCCCUCGACACAGAUCCUCAUCUAGAGCCCAGAACACUUUGGAACCAGACUUAGACCUGCCUGUCUAGGAGCCAUCACCCAUGAGCCAGAAAGAAUCAGUUAGCCCCAGGAGAACAGGGCACUAACAGAACACUGGGACAGCUACCUGCCAUGGCUCUUAACCAGAUCCAUCCAGCUCUGGACACACCCCCGGGGAUGAAGAUCUAUGGUGGUGGGGGCUUCCAGAAUGAUGCUGUCCUCCGCUACCCCGCCCCAGAUACAUGGUACUUUUGAACCAUGAGCUGAGACCAUAUGGCCUUUGGAAAGCUGAAGGGUCAGCUUGGGAACAUGUCUCUUCAUUUAGUCCCUAAUAAGACAAUAAAUGUUGUUUUUAGAGGCCUUCAAAAAACAACAAGAACCAAACCAAACCAAAACAAAACUGCCUAGAAGUUUUUCUUUGCCCUACCAUCGCUAGGAGGCUUAUUUCAAUAAGAAGCACUCUUUCACCCCAAAAAAGUUCCCCUGUGGCCCCUGCAGUCCAUUAGUUUCUGUCAGCGCUGCCCUGGGCAAUCACUUAACUGCAUGCUGUUACUAGAGCUUUGCCUCAUUCAGAAUUUCAGAUAAAUGGAAUCAUGCUCCACACAAUCUUUUUGUGUCUGGCUUUUUCUCACAUAGCAUGUUGUUUGGGAAAUGUAUCUGUGGUGUUGACUGGAUAUCCCAUCAUUUGUCUAUCUAGUCAACAUUUGAAGGAGGUCUUCUAUUAUGAAUAAAUGGGCUGUGAAUGUUCAUGUACAAGUC